rnacentral:rRNA from 1 species
GACGAACGCUGGCGGCGUGCUUAACACAUGCAAGUCGAACGGAAAGGCCCUGCUUUUGUGGGGUGCUCGAGUGGCGAACGGGUGAGUAACACGUGAGUAACCUGCCCUUGACUUUGGGAUAACUUCAGGAAACUGGGGCUAAUACCGGAUAGGAGCUCCUGCUGCAUGGUGGGGGUUGGAAAGUUUCGGCGGUUGGGGAUGGACUCGCGGCUUAUCAGCUUGUUGGUGGGGUAGUGGCUUACCAAGGCUUUGACGGGUAGCCGGCCUGAGAGGGUGACCGGCCACAUUGGGACUGAGAUACGGCCCAGUCUCCUACGGGAGGCAGCAGUGGGGAAUAUUGCACAAUGGGCGGAAGCCUGAUGCAGCAACGCCGCGUGCGGGAUGACGGCCUUCGGGUUGUAAACCGCUUUCGCCGGUGACGAAGCGUGAGUGACGGUAAUGGGUAAAGAAGCACCGGCUAACUACGUG